rnacentral:lncRNA from 1 species
AAAUAGCUUCCCUUGACUUCUCUUGUUCUCUUUGUCCUGCUUUGAUUAUCCUUCCUAUAUUCCUUUUAGUGAGUGUCUGGAUGGAGGAGAGAAGAGCUAUGAACACCUGCGCUUUGGAUACCUUGUUCAACUGGAAGUCUAGAGAAGCUAUCAAUUGUCUUCAGGAAUGUUUUGAUUCAGCAUGUCUACAGUGUCAUCUCAGACCAGUUUUGACCUUUGGGGUCUGAUAUGCAGGAUGAGCAUCAUCCAAAGGACUGGUUCUCCACGUGGUAGCAAAAUUGUUUCCACAAUUCUAACCU